CUUGCAGCCCAUGGCAUUUAAUUAGGGGGGACGGUUUUAUACAUUUGUUAGAUAAUUACACUACUUGACACAGAUAAUGACAUGAUACAGCAAUGGAUAAACCAAAAGGGCCUAGCUUAUGGAUACAAACUAACGAGGAACAAAUAAGUAGGAUGUUGGCUACAGAUGUCAACAACUGUAUGUGGGCCUCUGCUUCUGGGGGAACUCGGAAUGGGCAGUCUACUUCUUAGCAGGAACCACAUUUGAGUAAACGAUUUCCUUGUAUUUAAAUCAUGCUUGAUCAUCACUUAUUAAUUAGGCUUGCUCUGGGGAACCCCCUGGCUCAAAAAAGGUUAAUUCCGCCCCCGAAUAGUAUAUGCAUUUGAUCGUUGACUCCCUUGACGCUUUCUGAAAGCCUGUUAGUAUUUAUGCUGCAUAACACAUCCGCCCCAUCAUCCACACGCUCCAUGUCUGGAACUCGCAAACAAAGUCGUUAAAAGGCUUUAAGAUAACGAACAGCACUUAUACAUUGUGCUUCCAUCUCCAGCAUCGUCUUAAGCCAACUUGUUCAAAAGGUAUCUUUAUAUCAAUGUUCCAACAGACAUUUCAAAUUCCGUGCUUUCACGAGGUGACAUUUCCUCGAGGAACCGGUAAUUUUCUAUGAGAGGUGGGAUUGAACCGACAACCCCUGCCUGAUAACACGUCGCACUGUACCGAGAUGUCGUGUAGGCUGCCUUGAUCCUCUUAAAGUUGAUACGGUGCGUCUAGAACCGCCGUAGUCUGGUUUGGUCCAUGACUCAGGUCUGCCACACGGAGAGGGGACUAUGAAAAUCCUCUGGUUUGGAGCGGACCAUGAAGCUGUAUCGUGUUUCCCCACAAAUGGAUGCCAUGGGAUUACACCGUCUCUUGAUGUGACAUCGACCACACAGUCUCUCAUGUCGGUCUUUUUAACCGGCCCCGAAACACUCACAAAUAAGUGAGUAGCAGGGUCCUCAAGCAAGCCAUUGUUGUUAUAUCUGCCAUUUACUAGAAGAUAUUUCCAUCCGUCACACCACUGUAGCUUUGCAGUGAGCUGAUGUCUGUAGUAAACAGUUCAGCCAGCCAUUUGGUCCUACAUAACAAUGUCAAUCAGAGACUAAAACUCGCAAAUAGGACCAAACAUAUGUGACAUCUUUUGGCAGAACGAGGCUCCUGGAGGGAUUUUGAAAAUGAAGAGGAAGGCUACUUUGCUGAAAUAUAUUUAGCAAAGCUGCCGUGAAGCAAGCGGGAACGAGGUUACGAAGCCAGGGGAGUGUUACUAACGAGGCUCGCGCAGGUGUGCAUGUGUCGCGGUGCGGGUGUGGAUGAGUGAACGACAAGCAGACGCAGAGCCACGGUGAGUUUGGGUUCAUUCAAAGUCCUUGGCGGAUGCAUCUCCAAAGGCUCAAGACAUACGGCGCAACUCCGCGGCCCGGGAAGGACGGGCCGAAAAUACACCGUUAGCCUCCGGAGAGCGGGGUCAACCGGUCAAGAAGAGGUGAGGACAUGCG
ensembl:lncRNA